AGUAAACNCAUGCUGCCGCCACCUGC
rnacentral:piRNA from 1 species